rnacentral:rRNA from 1 species
AACGAACGCUGGCGGCAUGCCUAACACAUGCAAGUCGAACGGGAUCCAGGCUUCGGCCUGGUGAGAGUGGCGGACGGGUGAGUAACACGUGGGAACCUGCCUUUUGGUUCGGGAUAACCGCGGGAAACUGCGGCUAAUACCGGAUGCUCCCGAGAGGGGAAAGAUUUAUCGCCAGAAGAAGGGCCCGCGUCCGAUUAGGUAGUUGGUGAGGUAAUGGCUCACCAAGCCGACGAUCGGUAGCUGGUCUGAGAGGAUGAUCAGCCACACUGGGACUGAGAUACGGCCCAGACUCCUACGGGAGGCAGCAGUUAGGAAUCUUCCACAAUGGGCGAAAGCCUGAUGGAGCGACACCGCGUGAAGGAUGAAGCCUUUAAUUAGGUGUAAACUUCUGUUAUGAGGGACGAAAUUUUUGACGGUACCUCAUGAGAAAGCACCGGCUAAUUCUGUGCCAGCAGCCGCGGUAAU